AUUGAACGCUGGCGGCAGGCCUAACACAUGCAAGUCGAACGAGUGGCGGACGGGUGAGUAAUGUCUGGGAAACUGCCCGCUGGAGGGGGAUAACUACUGGAAACGGUAUCUAAUACCGCAUACCAUCGGAUGUGCCCAGAUGGGAUUAGCUAGUGGGUGGGGUAACGGCGCACCUAGGCGACGAUCCCUAGCUGGUCUGAGAGGAUGACCAGCCACACUGGAACUGAGACACGGUCCAGACUCCUACGGGAGGCAGCAGUGGGGAAUAUUGCACAAUGGGCGCAAGCCUGAUACAGCCAUGCCGCGUGUAUGAAGAAGGCCUUCGGGUUGUAAAGUACUUUCAGCGAGGAGGCGUUACUCGCAGAAGAAGCACCGGCUAACUCCGUGCCAGCAGCCGCGGUAAUUC
rnacentral:rRNA from 1 species